GCCCCCUGGGAAAAGCACACACUAAAACUGGAGCAAUAGAGAGAAGAUCAGCACAGCCCUUGUGCAAGGACGACAUGCAAAUUUGUGAAGCAGGUUCCACAUUUUA